rnacentral:lncRNA from 1 species
UAAAUUAUACACAUGUAUUGUUGCUAACAAAAAAAAAAGACCACUAGACCGAAGUCUUAGAGACUUAGACCAAAGAUUUUACUUUGGCUAAAAUUUACAUUAAUGCUUUGUCCUUGCUAUAACAACUUCUACAAGGAAACCAGUUGAACUUUUCCAGAAAAGCUUACAAGGGAUUUCAUGUACACAUAAUUCAACAUAAAGCCAUCCCCUCUCUCUAUAUGUAUCAUGGUUCGCCAGAAAAAACAUAUAUGGCUCACGAGACAUGAAACAUUGGGAUGAACUCAUCAAUUGAGAGCGCAGCCAGGUUGAAUAAGAAUGACAUAGUAUCCAGUUAUGGUAUCUUUGAAACAAAAUUAAAUCAAUUCUUUGGUGAUCGAGACAUCAUAUAUUUUGCACAUAAUAGCAUGCAUAUAAAUAGCCAUUUUCAAUUCUAACCUUUUGAGUUCUGUACUCAUGGUAUCUUCUUAUUAUGAUAUGACCUUGGGCUCUUUAAUAGAAUUAUUUUCUGGUUUUUUAACAUUACAUUUUUUGUAAAAAUAAAAAAGACAAGCCACACCACAUCAUUACAGGUGCAUAUAUUACACAUAUAUUAUGCACCAACUAGAUUCUACUAAACAUAAUUACUAGCUACUUGUGAUUUUCACAUUCAUUAACGGACCUUUUUUCUCUUUUCUUCCCCUAUUUUCUCAUCUGAAUUUGCAGCACUGAUGAAGAAGCCAAGAAGUCCGCACUCUGCAUUGGAUUCAACACAUCCAACACUCCUUUCAGAGUCUUAAGCCUCACACAAUCAGCCAUUUUCAUCACUUUUUCCAAGCCAGCCAGCAGCUCUUUUAUCGCCAUCUCCACAAGCCCAUUGAUCUGACUACUCGAGGCCGCCGCCAGGUGCUCGCCAUUCUUGGUUAAACUCACCAGCCUCGCCAGCUCCACCAUCUUCCUAUCCGCCAUGGCCACUUGCUGCCUUUCCAUCUCCCUCUCCACCUUCUCCUCAUCCACCCUAAUCCUGCUCCUCAAACCUUCAAUC